rnacentral:rRNA from 1 species
AUUGAACGCUGGCGGCAUGCCUUACACAUGCAAGUCGAACGGCAGCACGGGUGCUUGCACCUGGUGGCGAGUGGCGAACGGGUGAGUAAUACAUCGGAACGUACCCUAUCGUGGGGGGUAACGCAGCGAUAGCUGUGCUAAUACCGCAUACGCCCUGAGGGGGAAAGCGGGGGAUCGCAAGACCUCGCGCGAUUAGAGCGGCCGAUGCCUGAUUAGCUUGUUGGUGGGGUAAAAGCCCACCAAGGCGACGAUCAGUAGCUGGUCUGAGAGGACGAUCAGCCACACUGGGACUGAGACACGGCCCAGACUCCUACGGGAGGCAGCAGUGGGGAAUUUUGGACAAUGGGGGCAACCCUGAUCCAGCAAUGCCGCGUGAGUGAAGAAGGCCUUCGGGUUGUAAAGCUCUUUUGUCAGGGAAGAAACACCGGCUCUAACACAGUCCGGGAAUGACGGUACCUGAAGAAUAAGCACCGGCUAACUACGUGCCAGCCGCCGCAGUAA